GUCUGUAUGAAGUUAUAUAGAGUCUAGCCUGCCCAAUGAAUUUUAAUUUAAAAGGCCGCAGUAAUUUGACUGUGCAAAGGUAGCAUAAUAAUUAGUUUUUUAAUUGAAGGCUUGUAUGAAUGGUUGGACAAAGAAAAAUCUGUCUUUUGUGUUAUAUUUGAACUUUACAUUUAAGUGAAAAGGCUUAAAUAAUUUUAAGGGACGAUAAGACCCUAUAAAUCUUUACAUUGAAUUAAGUUUUUUUUAUAAAAUUUAUAAAAUUUAAUAAUGUUAUGUUGGGGCAACACAAAUAUAAAAAAUAACUGUUUUUUAAAAUAAACAUUUAUAUAUGGAGACUAAAAUAAAAGAUCCUUUUAAAGAUUGAAAGUUUAAGUUACUUUAGGGAUAACAGCGUUAUUUUUUUUGAGAGUUCUUAUUGAAAAAAAAGUUUGCGACCUCGAUGUUGAAUUAAAAUUUCUUUACGGUGCAGUAGUUGUAAGAGAGAGUCUGUUCGACUUUUAAAAUUUU
rnacentral:rRNA from 1 species